GAAACAGCCAAUCUAAACAGCCAAUGGAAUCAGGAAAAUGGAAAAGAGUGUUUCCCGAAAACAUCGCACAAAAACGUACUCCUAUAAAUGAGGUCGAUUUGCGUCUAAUUAUUUGGACUAACAAAAACAAUGCUAGUUGUGAAUCGAAACAAAAACAAACAUUGGAAAACGACGUUUAGACCGGUGUGACGUGAAACUCGUCAGACCAUGAGAAGGGUCAGAUAAACGGAAAACACAGAGCACUGCGCAUGCGCAUUAGAACAUAAAUAAACAAAAUCAUAUGCGUGAGAACCGUCAGAUACAGAAAACAAAAUGUUAUAACUGGCUGAUGGACCGAAAUUGAAUGGACAGAGAACACGGUUGUCAAAACUCAAACAGAAGUUGUGUCACUCAUCUACGUUAAAACAUAAAACUGAAGGCAGAAGCAACAAAUCGUGGGCUUAGCGCAAAACGGUUGUAACUCCAUUUUUGGAAAUUUUACAGGAGAGACAAAAAACUGCCAAUUUUUUUUAAAAAUUUCUUGCUGGAUUUUAUAAAAAAAGCAUAUAUUUGGUUAGUUCCAAGCAGUGUUAAAAGACUCAUUUCCAAUCUGUAGAAUAAUUAUGGAAAGAGAUAUUUGAACAUGUUCAAGUUACAACCAUUUUCCACCUGAAAUUUUGGAAAAUUUCAUUUAUUAUUUUUAUGCAAUAGGGAAGUAACUCAAGUUACAACUGUUUUCCAUUUUUAAUUUGGGGAGAUUUUAAUAUUUAUUUGUGUACUAAAUGGAAGUAUCUCAUCAUAUACUCUUUAUUCAUCAUCAUUAGUAAAAGAAAGCAAAACUUAUUAGUUACUAUAAACUUUCAACAAUCAUAAAACACUUUUUUGAACAAAUACAAUCAUUUUAGUAUCAUGGUGUAUAAAAUGUAUUCAUAAUUAUUCCAAACAUUAUUGAUAUACGUUUUUUUAUAAUAUAAUUUGUUGUUUACUUUAAUAAAUUAAAUUAGAUCUUUAAACGAUUUUUUUAAUCAUCUAAAACUAUUCUAGAGAUCUACAUGAUCAGCUAAGAUUCAAACUUUGAGGUAUUUAUUUUAUCCUUUAUUAUACAUUACCGAAAAAGUUUGUGAUUUUAUACUGCAGUCUCGACAAAUGCAAUUAAAGAAGCGAAAAUAAUAUAUCCAGUAUUAAAAGAUUUUUACUCAAGCCAACUUAAUUAAUUAACUUAUUUCCUGCCGUUCAUGUACAUCAUUUUUCUAUAAUGCUUAUAUAUAAUACUAUAAUUAAUUAUAAAGAAUAUAAUUAUUUUUUCACGGUUCAUUCACUUGAUUUUUUAAUGAAUAAAAAGGAAUUUAACACUACGUUUAACAUAGGUAAAUUAAUAAAAUUAAAAAUAAAGAAAGUUCUAGAACAAGUUAAUUUUGUUUCAAAAAGGUAGAAUUGAGAUUUGGAAAAUAGAAUUGAGACUUCUAAGUACAGUCCACUCUUGUUAUCUUGACAUCGGAUAUCUCGAUAUUCUCGAUAUGUCGAAGUAAGUUCAAUGUCCCAACUUUUUUCCUUCUUUAUCUAUAUAAAUAAACAUCGCAUAUCUCGAUUUUCGUUAUGUCGAAUAAUUCGAUAUCUCGAUAUUAAAUUUUGUCCCGAGUCCCGAUAUACAUGUAUUUACUGUGGUUUAUCUCGAAGUGCGAAUAACUGUUCCAGUGUCGGCAAAAGGUGAGAACAAAUUUCUUUGAUUCUUCACCGCCCCGCUUCGCCCAGCUGCUCACGAUACUGUGCGGUAGGAAAUUGAUCCGUUAAUUGCAUCAAUGAUCACACAUGUGUAAUGUCGUAAGCCCUUAAAACUUAAGUAUGGCCUGUCACUUUAACUGUCACUUUAACAUCAGUUAACUGCAAAUAAUACACAGUCUGUAUGUAGAUCUGGGGAUGUUGAGUAAUAAAGAUAAUAAAGACAAGACUCAAAAUGGCUUUUCAUUUUUAUUUGAUCUCGUACUAAUAAUCGAUUGAACUUAGCAUUUCAAACUACAAAAUGUGCAUAUACAGUUCAGUAUUCUGGAACGUGAUUUACGCAUGUUCAGAUGGAAAACCCUCGUCUUGAUUGGACGUCAAUUGCAUCAUAACUUAAAAUAGCAACAUUACCGGAUGUUUACUCGACAGUUUAGAAAAAUUAUAACCGCGUGUGUUCAUGCAAUUCUGUAAUACUUAAAACGUCAUUUUAAGCAUUUAAAUAGCAAAAUUAAUCGUACCUCGUAAAAACGCGUAUAUAUCAGGUAGAGAGUAUUAUGCCACACAAUGACGGCUUUAGUUAGACCACUUAGCAGGUAUUUAGGUGUUAAAAAAACAAGGAAAAUUUUCGUCUCAUUUUUUCUUUGAAAACGCCUAAUCGGAUAUCUCGAACUCUCGUUAUCUCGAUAUUUUUUCUUGUUCCCGCCGACUUCGAGAUAACGAGAGUGGACUGUAUGUACUUGUAUUCAAACAUAUUUUAGCAUCACAAUAAUUCCCUUGUUACUUUGUUCAAAUUGGUCUGCAGUUAUUUAUCAUAAAAGAAUUAAUCAUUAAGCUAAAGAUUUGAUACCAUAAACGCUUUAACUGGGUAUAACAACAAAAGUAAGAUCAUUCAUCAACAUGACUUGUCAGACUGCUACAAUUAUACCACUAUGUGGCAUGUCAGACUGUGACAAUGGUACCGGUAUGUAUUAUGUUAAGACUGUGACAAUAGUACCAAUAUUAAGCAUGGCAGACUGUGACAAUUAUAUCAGUACAUAGCAUGUGAGACUAAGACAAUGGUACCAGUACAUAGCAUCUGAGACUGUGACAAUGGUACUGGUACGAAGCAUCUGAGACUGUGACAAUGGUACAACUAUAUAGCUUGUCAGACUGUGAAAAUUAUACAGAACGUAGCAUCAGUGCUGCAUGUGAGACUGUCACAAAGGUACCACUAUGUAGCGUGUCAGACUGUUUGAACUAUACAAGUACAUAGCAUGCUAGACUGUGACAAUGUAACCAGUAUGUAGCAUGUCAGACUGUAACAAUGGUACCAUUACGUAGCAUCUGCCACUGUGACAAUGGUACCAGUAUGUGGCAUGUCAGACUGUGACAAUAGUACCAGUACAUAGCAUGUCAGACUGUGACAAUGGUACCAGUAUGUAUUAUGUUAGACUGUGACAAAAGUACCAAUAUGUAGCAUGUCAGACUGUGACAAUUUAACCAGUACGUAGCAUGUGAGACUGAGACAAUGGUACCAGUACGUAGCAUCUGAGACUGUGACAAUGGUACCACUAUGUAGCUUGUCAGACUGUGAGAUUAUACCAGUGGGUAGCAUUUAAGACUGUGACAAUGGAACCACUCUUUAGCUUGUCAGACUGUGAGAUUAUACCAGUGAGUAGCAUUUGAGACUGUGAAAAUGGUAACACUACGUAGCGUGUCAGACUGUUACAAUUAUACUAGUACAUAGCAUGCUAGACUGUGACAAUGGUACCAGUAUGUAGCAUGUCAGACUGUUACAAUGGUACCAUUGUGAAUCAUAUGCAACUCUGACAAUGGUACCAGUAUCUAGCAUGUCUGACUUUGACAAUGGUACCCAGGACUACGUGGCUUGUCAGACUGUGAAAAUUUUACCAGUAUGUAGCAUGUGAGACUUUGACAAUGGUACCACUACGUAGCUUGUCAGACUGUUACAAUUAUACCAGUAUAUGACAUGCUAAACUGUGUACAAUAGUACCAGUAUGUAGCAUGUGAGACUGUUACAAUGGUACCAGAACGUAGUAUCUGCGACUGUGACAAAAGUACCAGUACGUAGCAUGUCAGACUUUGACAAUGGUACCAGUAUGUAGCUUGUCAUACUGUGACAAUUAUAUCAGUAUGUUGCAUGUGAGACUGUGACAAAUUGGUACCAGUAUGUAGCAAGUCAGACUGUUAUAAUUAUACCAGUAUGGAGCAUAAGCGGCUGUGGCAAUCAUACCACUACGUAGCUUGUCAGACUGUGAAAAUUAUACCAGUGGCUAGCAUGUGAGACUGUGACAAUGGUAUCACUACGUAGCUUGUCAGACUGUUACAAUAAUACCAGUAAAAAAAAAAUAUAUAGGCUUUUAGCAUGCUUGACUGUGACAAUGUAACCAGUAUGUAACAUGUCAGACUGUUACAAGGGUACGAGUUCGUAGCAUCUGCAACUGUGACAAUGGUACCAGUAUGUAGCAUGUCAGACUGUGACAAUGGUACCAGUAUGUAGCAAGUCAGACUGUUAUAAUAUACCAGUAUGGAGCAUGUGCAGCUGUGGCAAUCGUACCACUAUGUAGCUUGUCUGUCUGUGAAAAUUAUACCAGUGGCUAGCAUGUGAGACUGUGACAAUGGUAUCACUACGUAGCUUGUCAGACUGUUACAAUACUACCAGUACAUGGCAUGCUAGACUGUGACAAUAGUACCAGUAUUUAGCAUGUGAGACUGUUACAAUGGUACCAGAACGUAGCAUCUGCGACUGUGACAAUGGUUACAGUGAGUAGCAUGUCAGACUGUGACAAUGGUACCAGUAAGAAGCUUGUCAUACUGUGACAAUUAUACCGGUAUGUAGCAUGUGAGACUGUGACAAUGGUACCAUGCAGUGUGUAGCAUCUGAAACCGUGACAAUGGUACCAGUAGAUAGCAUGUCAGACUGUUACAAUUAUACCUGUACGUAGCAUGACAGAUGGGGACAAUGGUACCAGUAUAUAGAAUGUCAGACUAAGACAAUUGUACCAGUACAUAGCAUGUCAGACUGAGACAAUAAUACCAGUACGUAGCAAUUUAGACUGAGACAAUGGUACCAGUGUGUAGCAUGUCAGACUGAGACAAUUAUAAUAAUGAUGCUCAAAAGGUAGGAAAAAGAUCAAUCGCAUUUUGUUCUAGUUUCUGUCUUAUCAUUUUUCUUAUUACACAAUUAUAUUUGAAUAGUUUGUAUUUGAAUUCAGAAAGAGGAUUAAAGUUCAUUAUUUUUUUAAAUUAAAAUAAGCUGAUAAGAUAAACUUGCUUUGUCUUUAACUCUGUUGAAUUAUAAUAAUUACAAUACAAAUAUUAAAUGAUUUAAGAAAGAUGUAAAGGUAAUUAUGUAUGUUCUUGAGAAUUAAAAAAAAUUAAAACAACCUUUAAAAUGUCAAGGCCCACAUGGCAAGCAAAUCAAACAGUGAUGUCAUAAUUAUGAUGUCAUAAACUAAAGAUGUAAAGAUGAGUUACUACCCUUCCAACAUUGUACACUUUAUAAUUUUUUGUGCUCAAAGGUUGUAACUUGAGAUACAACUGUUUUGCAUAACAAAAAUUAUCCAAAAUUAAAUACAACCAUAAGCCAAAUACGUGUUUUAAUGGGUAAAUUUUCAGAAUAUAACCUUUAUAUCUAUUUAGGAUGUGUAAAGUAAAAAAAAACUUGAAAAAUGAAAAAAUAUGAUUUUUGGUGAAAAUGUGAGUUACAACCGUUUUGCGCUAAGCCCACGAAAUAGUAAUUAUUAGUUUUUUUCUAUAGAUUAUAGAAAAGCUGACUGCUAAUUAUUUCCUACCAUUAAGAUGUAACAAUUUAUGUUUUCAAUUUUUAGCUGGGCUGUUUUCGGAGAAAACCCAAGGUAUUGUCAUAGCCAGCGUGUCGUGUCGUCCGCGUCAUGCUCAAACCUUAACAUUUUGUCAAUGUAUUGAACUUUGGCCAUAAAAUCAAAGUGCUUCCACCUAUAACUUUGAAACUUCAUAUGCAGCUCUACCUUGAUGAGUUCUACACGCCUCACCCAUAUUUGGGUCACUAGGUCAAAGGUGAAGGUCACUGUGACCUUAAAAUAAUUCUGACAAGCUUUUAUUCGUUAAAAAAAUGCACCUGCAACCACGUUCACACCAGUCCUGUUAUGCGGUGCUCUUGUUUUUCAUUGUACUCUGUUUUAUGGGGAUAAAGUAUUGCUGCAUUUUUUCAUUUAACUUUAUUACCGGUAACCUAUUUACCAGGGUAUGAACUUGUGUGUCAAGGUAUUUUUUAUUUAAUUCUUUCGACAUCAAUGUACUUAAAAAAGAAAUUGGAAUGUAGAGCAUUAGUGUCACACACAAAUGUUGAGUUUAAAUUCAGAAAGCUAGGUUAAUUUUGCAAUACAAAAACCAACUUUCAGAAACAAAACCAGGUCAUGAAGGCAUGCUAACUUAUUAUGACCAUAGUGUCAUAUGUUGUGUAUUUAAUAUUUAGUUCUGUUAAAUGUAUAAACUAGUAAAUUUAUCUGCUUGCAGCAACAUGUGAAGAAUGAAGCAACAGCGUAUCUAAAACUCGGGAGGAGAUGUUGAGAAGAUAUGCCAAGAUACGUCAAGAGAAAGAUAUGCCAUUCAGAGGGACAUAAGCAAUAAUCAUGAGGAACUGGUUUCUCUUUAAAAAAAAAAAAAUUAAAUUGCUCAAUUGUUUCUGGAACUUUUAAUUGAUUUUACAUGUGAUGGUGUUAAGUAAGUCUAUGAAACUUAUUAUUACACAUAAUAUCAUGUAAGAUAUAAAUUGUCAUAUGAAUUAUAAUACCAUGCCCAGUUAAUAUAUUGUACUUCCUGAUUAAUAAUAAAUAUUUGUGAAUGUUC